rnacentral:rRNA from 1 species
AACCUGCUUCUGGAUCAUUACCCACGUGA